AUGGGUAAGAGGGGGAAGUGAGACUCAUGAGACGAGUAAUGGCAACCUUUAUAAGACGAGUGAUUUGCUUGAGGAUAACAUAUCCCUCUGGCCCCUCAAUUUGUGGACGUGACAAAUAAUUCAGUAUGGCAGAGGCGUAUUCCGGAUUUGGUGAUCUGGAAGAAGGUUGGUACCUUCUUAAGCUUGUCCAGGAACACAAGCUUGGAGAAUUUGCUGGGCAUCAUGGACGGACUAGCAAGCAAACUCAAGCUAUCUAGGAGGAGGAGGCAAAUAAAUUAUCAGCUGUUUCUACCAAACCUUUCACCGGGGCUCAAAUCCCGUUUCCUCUCUUCUUUCUUUCUCACCACUUACCAAUACUCUUUAUACGUCUCACCUGAUGUCUUGAGUGGUUCUGUAAUGAUAAUAAUAAUAAUAAUAAUAAAUCCAAACCAAAUGGAGGAAUAGGCUUAUCGUGCAAGACGGAAAUUUUUCCAAGCCAAGGCGACCAUGUUUAAGACUGGCGGUGAUCCCAAGCCCAAAGAUGCCGAAAUUGAUCACUUGAGCCAAGAAAUUGUCUGGAAAUUGUCUGGAAGGACCUUUACCAUACCCAUCCCUUAUGAUUGUGGAGAGGGAGAUAACUCUGGACGGGACAAUUUGAUGGAUGAAUGAGGGAGUGAAAGUAAGAUUGCCCGCAAUGAAGGAGCCAGCGGUGAUGCUUUUGCAUUGGAACCAGCUGGAGACUCUCCUAGCGUUCUCCCUGUGGUUCAUGGUCCUACUAGCCUUUCUGUUU